rnacentral:lncRNA from 1 species
CACGGGAUGUUUACCAAAAUAAUUUUAAAAAAAUUAUUUAUAAAAAUAAUUAAAAUUUUAAUUUAUUUAUAAAAUUAAUGUAAAUCUUAUAAAAUAUUAUUUCAAAUGGUAUUUUAUAGUGUCCACUUCACCACCUCUUUUUCACGUAGAUGAUGAAUAAAAAAAAAAUUAAACACGCCAUUUGAAAUGGUAUUUUUGAAAACGCUAUUUCAAAUGAUAUUUUCAAAAAC